GACCGCGUAGCUCAGUUGGAAGAGCAUUGGGCUAGUAUUCCAAAGGUUGUAGGUUCGAAUCCCACCGUGGCCG
rnacentral:tRNA from 1 species